rnacentral:lncRNA from 1 species
ACUACUCAGGAGAACAUUUAUAAUAACAGAUUUGUGGGCUGUGAUGUGCCCAGAUCUGUACAUUAGAAUACCAAUUUAGCAGCUGUGAGCAGAAUAGAUUGGAACGGAAAAGGGCUGAUUGAAGGAAUACCAAUUAGGAGGCAUCUGCAAAAGUUCAGCACUCACUUAAACAAACCAACCAGGAAACUUGAUUCUUUGAAUGAAGAGUAACUGAUGGGAAAUCUCAGUGAUGCACCAUUACUGAGGAAAAGUCAAGGUUAUGAUCACCAUCUUGAGGCACCAAUAUCUAAAAUGAUACAUUGACCUUAGGUGCAAAAUAUAAGAAACAU